rnacentral:rRNA from 1 species
GUAGGGGAGCAAACGUUGUCCGGAUUUAUUGGGCGUAAAGGGCUCGUAGGCGGUUCAACAAGUCGAUCGUGAAAGCCCGGGGGGCUCAACCCCGGGGGGGCCGGUCGAAACUGUUGUGACUAGAGUUCGGUAGAGGUGAGUGGAAUUCUCGGUGUAGCGGUGGAAUGCGCAGAUAUCGAGAGGAACACCAUUAGCGAAGGCGGCUCACUGGGCCGAUACUGACGCUGAGGAGCGAAAGCGUGGGGAGCAAACAGGAUUAGAAACCCUGGUAGUCCACGCCGUAAACGAUGAACACUAGGUGUAGCGGACUGAUUCACGUCUGCUGUGCCGUAGCUAACGCAUUAAGUGUUCCGCCUGGGGAGUACGGCCGCAAGGCUA